AUUGAACGCUGGCGGCAUGCUUUACACAUGCAAGUCGAACGGUAACAGGCCGCAAGGUGCUGACGAGUGGCGAACGGGUGAGUAAUGCAUCGGAACGUGCCCAGUCGUGGGGGAUAACUACUCGAAAGAGUAGCUAAUACCGCAUACGAUCUAUGGAUGAAAGCGGGGGACCGUAAGGCCUCGCGCGAUUGGAGCGGCCGAUGUCAGAUUAGGUAGUUGGUGGGGUAAAGGCUCACCAAGCCAACGAUCUGUAGCUGGUCUGAGAGGACGACCAGCCACACUGGGACUGAGACACGGCCCAGACUCCUACGGGAGGCAGCAGUGGGGAAUUUUGGACAAUGGGCGCAAGCCUGAUCCAGCAAUGCCGCGUGCAGGAAGAAGGCCUUCGGGUUGUAAACUGCUUUUGUACGGAACGAAACGGCUCUGGUUAAUACCCGGGGCUAAUGACGGUACCGUAAGAAUAAGCACCGGCUAACUACAUG
rnacentral:rRNA from 1 species